CUUAAAUAUGACUUGCAGUCUAUAGAUUCGAUAUAUAUUUCUGGAAAACCGGCUGAAAGAUUAGGGGUUAUCAUCUCGCAAGAUCUUACCUGGAACAGACACGUGGUUUAUAUUGUCAAAAAAGCCAAUUCCCGUCUUUAUGCCUUUGAGACAAUUAAAAAAAGCUGGUUUAGCUCAACAUGAUCUUCUUAAAAUUUAUUGCUCUUUGGUUAGGUCUUAACCCAAAAUUUAACAAAUUUAAUCGAGUCUGUUUAAAACCGAGCGUUACGGGUUAUCUGUCCUUCUCUUGCUUAACUCGUCAAAACGCGGUGAUGUUUGUUGAGAAAAUUAAGUCUGCCGAUCAACUAAAUGACCCUGUUGCGUACAUUCUGAGGUAUAAUGGACGUGAACAUAGUUAUAACUUAGAUUUGAGGGAACGUUUUUCACAGUUCAUUACACAUACCGCACAUAUUAUUGAUGUUCCUUAGUCACUGUACUAUUGUAGGUUUUAUUUCGUAUUUUAUUUAAUAUUGUUCAAUAGAUAACUUCAUAUUUGUAAAUUUCUCAAAGGUCAUUGUCAUAGCUAGUUUGAGCAUGUAAUUCAGUUCUGUAACUGCAAAGCGUUUUAUUAAACCAU